rnacentral:misc_RNA from 1 species
GAUGAAGAACGUAGCGAAAUGCGAUAAGUAAUGUGAAUUGCAGAAUUCAGUGAAUCAUCGAAUCUUUGAACGCACAUUGCGCCCCCUGGUAUACCGGGGGGCAUGUCCGUCCGAGCGUCAUUUCAACCCUCAAGCCCCCGGGCUUGGUGUUGGGGAUCGGCGAGCCUCCGCGCCCGCCGUCCCCUAAAUCUAGUGGCGGUCUCGCUGUAGCUUCCUCUGCGUAGUAGCACACCUCGCACUGGGAAACAGCGCGGCCACGCCGUUAAACCCCCAACUUCUGAACGUUUGACCUCGGAUCAGGUAGGAAUACCCGCUGAACUUAAGCAUAUCAAUAAGCGGAGGA